rnacentral:rRNA from 1 species
UACAUGGGGUGCAAACGUUGCUCGGAAUUAUUGGGCGUAAAGCGCACGUAGGCGGUUCGUUAAGUCGGAUGUGAAAGCCCUCGGCUCAACUGAGGAAGUGCACCCGAAACUGGCGAGCUUGAGUACGAAAGAGGAUCGCGGAAUUCCUGGUGUAGCGGUGGAAUGCGCAGAUAUCAGGAGGAACACCGAUGGCGAAGGCAGGUCUCUGGGCCGUAACUGACGCUGAGGAGCGAAAGCGUGGGGAGCGAACAGG